UGAGCAAGUUACAAGAUGGUUCCAGCAACCUUAAAAAAAGCAAAGCAAAGUUCUUGGAAAUCCAUUUCAUGUCGGCAACCUAUGUCUUGUAUCUGCAUCCUUCACCAAGUUUUUCAAAGACAAAUCAAUAAUCCCUUGAGAACUUCGCGAACUCAGCCUCAAAUGCAUUUUUCAAAUGAUCAAGCUCCUUGUCCAAAUCGUUGAUGGCUUGAUUAUAUGCUUGCAUCGGUGACGAUUGGCUAGUAGUAUGGAUCCG
rnacentral:misc_RNA from 1 species